GCCUGCGGGGAGACCUGAGGGCUGCGUUCUGGGGCGAAGCUCUAGGGAGCCCACACCAGGGAGAGGCCUGGACUCAGCGGCCAGGACUCAGCUCCCAGGAGGCUGCUCCAAGGCCCUCCUCUUCCCCAUGGCACGGAGCCUCCUAGCUGGACACCCAGAUCACGGUCUUUCGAGCAGAAUAAGAGUAGCCGGUAGAGACAGAUAUAUCCAAAGAGCCCCAGGUCGGAGACCCGGCGCCAGACCACGUCACGCUGCGGGGCCGCGGGGUCUGCACCCCUCAUUGGAGCCGGAACUGCAAAGCCUGCGUGUGCUUACGACGGGGCGCUGCGCUGAGGGGCGGCCCAGGCAAGCCGGCAGGGGGCGAGCCCCCUCGGGUGCCCAGCCGGCGCUCGGAGCAGGGACGUCUGGGAUCACCUAAUGGCAGGUGGCCGGCCGGCAGCCUCCUUGCCUUCCUGAAGGCGGCAGCUCAGCCCAGGCAGAAGGAUUCUUGGAGUCAGGUCACCUUCAGGCCCUUCCCUAAACUCGCUGCUCUGGCAACCGACAACCCGCUGGGCGCACUUGUGCUUUAAGCCUUCCAGACCCAGGGUUUCGUGAAACAGGAAUUCCAGACUUCCCGGUGAAGGGCGGACGUCUGAGACGAGACAGAUUCACCCCUGCUCCCCCAGAUCGAGAAGCA